ACGGGUGAGUAACGCGUGGGAACGUACCCUUUUCUACGGAAUAACGCAUGGAAACGUGUGCUAAUACCGUAUGUGCCCUUCGGGGGAAAGAUUUAUCGGAAAAGGAUCGGCCCGCGUUGGAUUAGCUAGUUGGUGGGGUAAAGGCCUACCAAGGCGACGAUCCAUAGCUGGUCUGAGAGGAUGAUCAGCCACAUUGGGACUGAGACACGGCCCAAACUCCUACGGGAGGCAGCAGUGGGGAAUAUUGGACAAUGGGCGCAAGCCUGAUCCAGCCAUGCCGCGUGAGUGAUGAAGGCCUUAGGGUUGUAAAGCUCUUUCACCGGUGAAGAUAAUGACGGUAACCGGAGAAGAAGCCCCGGCUAACUUCGUGCCAGCAGCCGCGGUAAUACGAAGGGGGCUAGCGUUGUUCGGAUUUACUGGGCGUAAAGCGCACGUAGGCGGAUCGAUCAGUCAGGGGUGAAAUCCCAGAGCUCAACUCUGGAACUGCCUUUGAUACUGUCGAUCUGGAGUAUGGAAGAGGUGAGUGGAAUUCCGAGUGUAGAGGUGAAAUUCGUAGA
rnacentral:rRNA from 1 species